rfam:Erythranthe guttata cultivar DTN x IM62 scaffold_429_contig_4, whole genome shotgun sequence.
GUACUUACCUGGACGGGGUCAAUAGGCGAUCAAUAAGACCUAUGGCCUAUGCUGGUGACCUCCAUUGCACUUUGGAGGGGUGCCUGCGUAAGGUCGGCCCAAGAGGUCGAGCCUGCGUCAUAAUUUGUGCCAGAGGGGGCCUGCGUUCGCGCGGCCCCUGC